rnacentral:rRNA from 1 species
UAAUCAUUCAUUAAGGGAUUUUCAAACACAUAGCUAAAUUUAUAGCAGAAAUUUAAUUGCCUGCUGUAUUAACAUGGUAAUUUAUGAGAGUAAAUGCAGAAAUGCUAUUAACCUAGUGAAAGUUGUGCCAGCGGCUGCGGUUAAACAGCUGGGGGUGUUUGAUGCGUUUAUUGUGGGAGUUUAAGAAGGGCUUAUAGUGGUGAAAUAUGUGUAAGUUGAAACAACCCCUGUAGGGUAGAUUUAUAAAUCAGAUUAGAUACCUGAGUAUUCUACGUAUGCAAUAAUGAUAUGGGGAAGAUCUAAAUAAUGUGGCGGUGCUCUUGAAAGGUAGGGGGACUUGGGUGUGGAUAAUAAACCUGAAGUUAGUUGGCUUGAUGGCCUCUUGUAUGAUUGAGUAUUUUUAGUAGAAAUUACUCAAAUGCCAUAGGGGCUAAGUUAAUUCGCCUGAGUUUUAGGGUUAAUUUAAAUAAAGGAUUUACGAGUAGUUGAUGACAAAUGAAGGUAUCAGGAGUGAGUACAUAUCGCCCGUCAACACCUUACAGGUGUAAGUCGUAACAUAGUGAUCCUACUUGAAAGUGGGGUU